rnacentral:misc_RNA from 1 species
AAGUCGUAACAAGGUUUCCGUAGGUGAACCUGCGGAAGGAUCAUUAACACGUAUCCAACGUAAAAAACCCCCCUGUGAACAUUCAAACCUGCUCUCGUAGCCAGUGCGAUCCAGCAAUCCCGGUAAAUCAUGGUCGAACAGUAUUGAUUCGGGACUUCUGACAAAUGAGAAGUUACAGUUACGAUUGAGCGGAGAUAGCUGCAUGGCAUCCCGAAGCAGUCAGUGCCUGAAAGUGUCAUUGAUUGUCUAAGGAUCUCGCCUCAACGAUUCGACCGGCAGACAUGCAACCGGGUCCCCGCAUUACCUCUGGAAACUAGCGGCUAAAAAACCUCGAACAACUGUUAACAAUGGAUAUCUUGGUUCUC